UACGGGGGGGGCAAGCGUUGUUCGGAAUUACUGGGCGUAAAGGGCUCGUAGGCGGCCAACUAAGUCAGACGUGAAAUCCCUCGGCUUAACCGGGGAACUGCGUCUGAUACUGGUUGGCUUGAAUCCGGGAGAGGGAUGUGGAAUUCCAGGUGUAGCGGUGAAAUGCGUAGAUAUCUGGAGGAACACCGGUGGCGAAGGCGGCAUCCUGGACCGGUAUUGACGCUGAGGAGCGAAAGCCAGGUGAGCAAACGGG
rnacentral:rRNA from 1 species